rnacentral:tRNA from 1 species
UGAUGGCUCAGACGGUAGAGAGUCUGCCUGCAAUGCAGAAGACCCAGGUUCAAUCCCUGAGUCA